rnacentral:rRNA from 1 species
UUCGUAGGCGGUGUGGCAAGUCGGGAGUGAAACCUCUGGGCUCAACCCAGAGGCUGCUUCCGAAACUGCUGUGCUUGAGUGUGAGAGAGGCUCGUGGAAUUGCAGGUGUAGCGGUGAAAUGCGUAGAUAUCUGCAGGAACACCCGUGGCGAAAGCGGCGAGCUGGAUCACUACUGACGCUGAGGAACGAAAGCUAGGGGAGCAAACAGGAUUAGAUACCCUGGUAGCCCUAGCCCUAAACGAUCAGGACUUGGGGUGCCGCCCGUUCGGGCGUCGUCCCGGAGCUAACGCGUUAAGUCCUGCACCUGGGGAGUACGGUCGCAAGACUGAA